rnacentral:ncRNA from 1 species
UUCUUAUCAAGAGAAGCAGAGGGACUGGCCCGAUGAAGCUUCGGCAACAACUCACCCGAGUGAUGUGCCAAAUCCAGCAGGCGGAAGCCUGAAAGAUGAGAA